UGGCAACGGGGGGCAGCAGUGGGGAAUAUUGGGCAAUGGGCGCAAGCCUGACCCAGCAACGCCGCGUGAAGGAAGAAGGCUUUCGGGUUGUAAACUUCUUUUGUCAGGGACGAAGCAAGUGACGGUACCUGACGAAUAAGCCACGGCUAACUACGUGCCAGCAGCCGCGGUAAUACGUAGGGGGCAAGCGUUAUCCGGAAUUACUGGGUGUAAAGGGAGCGUAGACGGCUGUGCAAGUCUGGAGUGAAAGGCGGGGGCCCAACCCCC
rnacentral:rRNA from 1 species